GAGAGAGUUCAAGAGUACGUGAAACCGUUCAGGGGUAAACGGGAGACGUCCUGAAUUCGAACGGGAGGUACCCCCUUAAAUGGGGGGCCUUUGGGAUUCAGCCGUGCCACGGGGGGGUUUGUCCGACUCCCCGCCAGACGGCGCCGGACGACCGCUCGUGACGCUGACUCGCGAUGCGGACCCGAUCCCGGAGGCCGCUCGGCGGUGUGAUGUUGUGCCCCAAUCACCCGGGCGGUGCACUUCCCCCCCAGUAGAAGCGUCGCGACCCGUUGGGCCGCCNGCCACAGGGCCCGGGGAGGCAGGCCGUUUCGUGGUCCCGACUAGUUCGGGUCCCGGGCGGACCCCUGGUGUUCCCGGCCGGCGCCCGACGGUAUAACAGAGGAGGUGGUCCGCANAACGGAUGCGUCCGGGCCGGCNACCGCGCGCGUGCGCCCGGGGUCGAGGUGCUAGCCACCUUCCCCGACGCUUCGCGCGCGUGUCCGUCGAGCUCCCUCGGACAGGACCCUGCCUUCCGGUCGCGCGACGCACCGACCUUCGGACG
rnacentral:rRNA from 1 species